rnacentral:rRNA from 1 species
CCUACGGGAGGCAGCAGUGGGGAAUAUUGCGCAAUGGGCGAAAGCCUGACGCAGCGACGCCGCGUGAGGGAUGACGGCCUUCGGGUUGUAAACCUCUUUCAGCAGGGAAGAAGCGAAAGUGACGGUACCUGCAGAAGAAGCACCGGCUAACUACGUGCCAGCAGCCGCGGUAAUACGUAGGGUGCGAGCGUUGUCCGGAAUUAUUGGGCGUAAAGAGCUCGUAGGCGGCCUGUCGCGUCGGAUGUGAAAACUCGGGGCUUAACCCCGAGCCUGCAUUCGAUACGGGCAGGCUAGAGUUCGGCAGGGGAGACUGGAAUUCCUGGUGUAGCGGUGAAAUGCGCAGAUAUCAGGAGGAACACCGGUGGCGAAGGCGGGUCUCUGGGCCGAUACUGACGCUGAGGAGCGAAAGCGUGGGGAGCGAACAGGAUUAGAUACCCUGGUAGUCCACGCCGUAAACGUUGGGAACUAGGUGUGGGCGACAUUCCACGUCGUCCGUGCCGCAGCUAACGCAUUAACGUUCCCCGCCUGGGGAGUACGGCCGCAAGGGCUAAAACUUAAAGAUAGUACGGACGUGAGACGUGCCGACGGACGACACGACGGGAGGUAGG